UACGGAGGAUGCAAGCGUUAUCCGGAUUUAUUGGGCGUAAAGCGUCCGCAGGUGGUUUUUCAAGUCUGCUGUUAAAGCGCGAGGCUUAACUUCGUACAGGCAGUGGAAACUGGAAGACUUGAGUAUGGUAGGGGUAGCGGGAAUUCCCAGUGUAGCGGUGAAAUGCGUAGAUAUCAAGAGGAACACCUGCGGCGAAGGCGGGUUGCUGGGCUGACACUGACGCUGAGGCGCGAAAGCUAGGGGAGCGAACGGG
rnacentral:rRNA from 1 species